GAUGAACGCUGGCGGUAUGCUUAACACAUGCAAGUCGAACGCAGACUUUCGGGUCUGAGUGGCGGACGGGGGAGUAACGCGUGAGAAUCUAGCUUCAGGUUGGGGACAACCACGUGAAACGGUGUCUAAUACCCAAUGUGCCGUUAAGGUGAAAGAUUAAUUGCCUGAAGAUGAGCUCGCGUCUGAUUAGCUAGGUGGUGGGGUAAGAGCUCACCAAGGCGACGAUCAGUAGCUGGUCUGAGAGGAAGAUCAGUCACACGGGGACUGAGACACGGCCCAGACCACUACGGGAGGCGGGAGUGGGGAAUUUUCCGAAAGGGGCGAAAGCGUAACGGAGACACACCGCGUGAGAGAGGAAGGCUCUUGGGUUGUAAACCUCUUUCCUCAGGGAAGAAGGGAAUGACGGUACCUGAGGAAUAAGCACCGGCUAACUACGUG
rnacentral:rRNA from 1 species